UUAAGCGACUAAGCGUACACGGUGGAUGCCCUGGCAGUCAGAGGCGAUGAAGGACGUGCUAAUCUGCGAUAAGCGUCGGUAAGGUGAUAUGAACCGUUAUAACCGGCGAUUUCCGAAUGGGGAAACCCAGUGUGUUUCGACACACUAUCAUUAACUGAAUCCAUAGGUUAAUGAGGCGAACCGGGGGAACUGAAACAUCUAAGUACCCCGAGGAAAAGAAAUCAACCGAGAUUCCCCCAGUAGCGGCGAGCGAACGGGGAGCAGCCCAGAGCCUGAAUCAGUGUGUGUGUUAGUGGAAGCGUCUGGAAAGGCGCGCGAUACAGGGUGACAGCCCCGUACACAAAAAUGCACAUGCUGUGAGCUCGAUGAGUAGGGCGGGACACGUGGUAUCCUGUCUGAAUAUGGGGGGACCAUCCUCCAAGGCUAAAUACUCCUGACUGACCGAUAGUGAACCAGUACCGUGAGGGAAAGGCGAAAAGAACCCCGGCGAGGGGAGUGAAAAAGAACCUGAAACCGUGUACGUACAAGCAGUGGGAGCACGCUUAGGCGUGUGACUGCGUACCUUUUGUAUAAUGGGUCAGCGACUUAUAUUCUGUAGCAAGGUUAACCGAAUAGGGGAGCCGAAGGGAAACCGAGUCUUAACUGGGCGUUAAGUUGCAGGGUAUAGACCCGAAACCCGGUGAUCUAGCCAUGGGCAGGUUGAAGGUUGGGUAACACUAACUGGAGGACCGAACCGACUAAUGUUGAAAAAUUAGCGGAUGACUUGUGGCUGGGGGUGAAAGGCCAAUCAAACCGGGAGAUAGCUGGUUCUCCCCGAAAGCUAUUUAGGUAGCGCCUCGUGAAUUCAUCUCCGGGGGUAGAGCACUGUUUCGGCAAGGGGGUCAUCCCGACUUACCAACCCGAUGCAAACUGCGAAUACCGGAGAAUGUUAUCACGGGAGACACACGGCGGGUGCUAACGUCCGUCGUGAAGAGGGAAACAACCCAGACCGCCAGCUAAGGUCCCAAAGUCAUGGUUAAGUGGGAAACGAUGUGGGAAGGCCCAGACAGCCAGGAUGUUGGCUUAGAAGCAGCCAUCAUUUAAAGAAAGCGUAAUAGCUCACUGGUCGAGUCGGCCUGCGCGGAAGAUGUAACGGGGCUAAACCAUGCACCGAAGCUGCGGCAGCGACGCUGAUGCGUUGUUGGGUAGGGGAGCGUUCUGUAAGCCUGCGAAGGUGUGCUGUGAGGCAUGCUGGAGGUAUCAGAAGUGCGAAUGCUGACAUAAGUAACGAUAAAGCGGGUGAAAAGCCCGCUCGCCGGAAGACCAAGGGUUCCUGUCCAACGUUAAUCGGGGCAGGGUGAGUCGACCCCUAAGGCGAGGCCGAAAGGCGUAGUCGAUGGGAAACAGGUUAAUAUUCCUGUACUUGGUGUUACUGCGAAGGGGGGACGGAGAAGGCUAUGUUGGCCGGGCGACGGUUGUCCCGGUUUAAGCGUGUAGGCUGGUUUUCCAGGCAAAUCCGGAAAAUCAAGGCUGAGGCGUGAUGACGAGGCACUACGGUGCUGAAGCAACAAAUGCCCUGCUUCCAGGAAAAGCCUCUAAGCAUCAGGUAACAUCAAAUCGUACCCCAAACCGACACAGGUGGUCAGGUAGAGAAUACCAAGGCGCUUGAGAGAACUCGGGUGAAGGAACUAGGCAAAAUGGUGCCGUAACUUCGGGAGAAGGCACGCUGAUAUGUAGGUGAAGUCCCUUGCGGAUGGAGCUGAAAUCAGUCGAAGAUACCAGCUGGCUGCAACUGUUUAUUAAAAACACAGCACUGUGCAAACACGAAAGUGGACGUAUACGGUGUGACGCCUGCCCGGUGCCGGAAGGUUAAUUGAUGGGGUCAGCGCAAGCGAAGCUCUUGAUCGAAGCCCCGGUAAACGGCGGCCGUAACUAUAACGGUCCUAAGGUAGCGAAAUUCCUUGUCGGGUAAGUUCCGACCUGCACGAAUGGCGUAAUGAUGGCCAGGCUGUCUCCACCCGAGACUCAGUGAAAUUGAACUCGCUGUGAAGAUGCAGUGUACCCGCGGCAAGACGGAAAGACCCCGUGAACCUUUACUAUAGCUUGACACUGAACAUUGAGCCUUGAUGUGUAGGAUAGGUGGGAGGCUUAGAAGUGUGGACGCCAGUCUGCAUGGAGCCGACCUUGAAAUACCACCCUUUAAUGUUUGAUGUUCUAACGUGGACCCGUGAUCCGGGUUGCGGACAGUGUCUGGUGGGUAGUUUGACUGGGGCGGUCUCCUCCUAAAGAGUAACGGAGGAGCACGAAGGUUGGCUAAUCCUGGUCGGACAUCAGGAGGUUAGUGCAAUGGCAUAAGCCAGCUUGACUGCGAGCGUGACGGCGCGAGCAGGUGCGAAAGCAGGUCAUAGUGAUCCGGUGGUUCUGAAUGGAAGGGCCAUCGCUCAACGGAUAAAAGGUACUCCGGGGAUAACAGGCUGAUACCGCCCAAGAGUUCAUAUCGACGGCGGUGUUUGGCACCUCGAUGUCGGCUCAUCACAUCCUGGGGCUGAAGUAGGUCCCAAGGGUAUGGCUGUUCGCCAUUUAAAGUGGUACGCGAGCUGGGUUUAGAACGUCGUGAGACAGUUCGGUCCCUAUCUGCCGUGGGCGCUGGAGAACUGAGGGGGGCUGCUCCUAGUACGAGAGGACCGGAGUGGACGCAUCACUGGUGUUCGGGUUGUCAUGCCAAUGGCACUGCCCGGUAGCUAAAUGCGGAAGAGAUAAGUGCUGAAAGCAUCUAAGCACGAAACUUGCCCCGAGAUGAGUUCUCCCUGACCCUUUAAGGGUCCUGAAGGAACGUUGAAGACGACGACGUUGAUAGGCCGGGUGUGUAAGCGCAGCGAUGCGUUGAGCUAACCGGUACUAAUGAACCGUGAGGCUUAACCUU
rnacentral:rRNA from 1 species